rnacentral:lncRNA from 1 species
UUUAUACUCCCUUUAAAUUUGUCCCAUUUCUAAGACAGCAGAAUUUUCAGAAUUCUCUUUACAAUCAUUGAAGAACAGCUUGAAUCCCUGAAAUGUGUCAGUAUGCAUAUGGGGACCAGGCAUGGAGGGAAGUACAGUGUUCAUUUGAUGGGAAAAAGCUGUACAAGAUAUUCAGCCACUUGAUGGAAUGGGAAGGAAGUCCAGAUAUGGGGAGGGCCAUGUAACUUCUCAUCUAAACAGAGACACUUGUGAAAUUGUUUGUUCUGCUGCAAGACAUCUACCUACUUUCUACCUCUGAGGGAAAUAUUUCUGGCCCGUGGGUGAAAUGGUGCUUAAGACAGAGAGAAGAAGAUUCUUAACAUAAGAGAAGUAUCUAUUUUAUGUUAUGUUAUGAGAAUAACCAUAUAUGAAAUAUAAUGAAAAACACCUGAUUCAUAGCAGCAAUAACCAUUAUCAAAUAUACAGACAUAUACUAAUCAAAAAUAUGUAACACUGUGAAAACAAGUACAAAAUUUUAUGGAGAGAAACAACUUGAGUAAAUUAAGGCACACAGUAAAGCUAGAUAAAAUAGUUAUAAAUUUCUAUUUCAAAAUUGAAAAAAUAGAGAAAUUUGCAUACAUCAGAGGCAAAUUAGGGAGUAAAUGCUCACAAGGAAAAGAUUGUGAACACAGGAAUGAAAGACUAAGACUGUAAAUCUUCAUUUAGUAACUUAGAUGACGAUUUUAAGAAAAGCUGCUAAAUAAGUAUUUUUUAUGUGUAAAAGGCAGUCUGCAAUGCAAACCUCCUACUAAGGCUCCCCUAUGAAAUACUAUACAACAGGGGUCCCCAACCCCUGGGCCAUGGAUUGGUACUGGUUAGUGGCCUGUUAGGAAUCUGGCUGCACAGCAGGAGGUGAGCUGCGGGUGAGAUUCGUCUGUAUUUACAGCCACUUCCCAUCGCUGGCAUUACUCCCUGACCUCCAUCUCCUGUCAGAUCAUCAUCAGCAUUAGAUUCUCAUAGUAGCGUGAACCCUGUUGUGAACCCCACAUGUAAGGGAUCUAGGAUGUGAGCUCCUUAUGAGAACUGAAUGCCUCAUGAUCUGUCACUGUCUCCCAUCACCCCCAGAUGGGACCAUUUAGUUGCAGGAAAACAAGCUCAGGACUCCCACUGAUUCUACAUUAUGGUUGGUUGUAUAAUUAUUUCAUUAUAUAUUAUGAUAUAAUAAUAAUAGAAAUAAAGUGUACAAUAAAUGUAAUGCGCUUGAAUCAUCCCGAAACCACCCCACUCCCUUGCCCUGUCUGUGGAAAAGUUUUCUUUCAUGAAACCUGUCCCUGGUACCAAAAAGGUUGGGGACCACUGCUAUGCACCAACAAAGCUAAGUAGAAUUUCUUUUGGGUGGGUGUGCAAAAAAGUGCUGAGUACUACUUCAAGUGCAGCAUAGAGCAAAGGAGAGCUUGCUCACAGGGGAGAGGUAAUGAUAUGGUCACAAUGAUGUAGAAAAGAAAAAAAAAGUCAUUAAUUAUUUCCAGAUAAUCACUACCUACUAGAAAAACCCAAGAAUAAAUUGAAAAUCAAUUACAAUAAUAGAGUUCCACGAGGUGGCUGUUGAUAAAAACUACAAAGAAUCAGUAUCUUUCUUAUGUUAAUGAGAAUAACCAUAUAUGAAAUAUAAUGAAAAACACCUGAUUCAUAGCAGCAAUAACCAUUAUCAAAUAUACAGACAUAUGCUAAUAAAAAAUGUGUAACACUAUGAAAACAAUUACAAAAUUUUAUGGAGAGAAACAACUUGAGUAAAUUAAGGCACACAGCACAGCUAGAUAAAAUAGUUAUAAAUUUCAAUUUCAAAAUUGAAAAAAUAGAGAAAUUUGCAUAUAUAGAUAUUAAGACAACAAUAAUUUAAUUAGACUAGUAUAGUCUAGAAAUCCCAGCAGUAUACACAAGUACAUACAAAUAUUUAGCAUCUGAUAAGAUAUCAUUUCAAAUAUUAGAGAUAGGGUUCUGGCUUUUGGUAAUGGCGGAAUGAAAUGUCCUGUGAACCCUCCCAAGGAUAAUCAUUAUAAAAACUGAAUAAAAUAUGAUUUUCAAAAACUGAUUUCCUGUAUGUUAAGUGAAAGCCAGGAACAGAAUGAAAAAUUCCACAUGAUCUUAUUCAUAUGUGAAAUCCAAAAAAGUUGAUCUCAUAGAUGUAGAGAGUAGAAUAUCAGUUACUAGAGGCUAGAAAGCAUAGGAGGAAAGGGAAAUCAAUCUAUUAGUCAAUGGGUAUCAAAUGAUAGUUAGAUAAGAGGAAUAAGUUCUAGUGUUCCAUUACACAGUAGGGAGAAUACAGUUAACAAUAAUACAUUGUAUAGUUUAAAAUAGCUAGAAGAUCUCAACACAAAGAAAUUAUAAAUGGUUGAAGUAACGGAUAGGCUAAUUGCCCUAAUUUGAUCAUUACACAUUGUAACAAGUAUCAAAACCUCACAUUCUACCCCAUAAACAUGUAUAAUUAUUAUGUGUCAAUUAAAAUGAAACUAUUGGAAGGAAAUGUAAAGUGACUAAAUGCAAGCAGAAAUCAGAGAUUUACCCUUGAGAGACUAUAACUAUAAUGGAUAGUGGCUGAGUAGAGAGUCUAAGUAUGACAGAACAGAUAGAAAUUAGGGACAAAAUUCAAGAAGCAAAAAAGCUGCAGAAAAGAGGAAACAAAAAAUCUGAGUAUGAACUCUGUCCAUAUCCCUGGCUGUUCAACAAGUGACAGAUGUAAGGGGACAGCUGGGGCAAAGAAAAAAUAGGCAGGAUAAUAAAGAAAUCUAUCCUCAAAAGUCAGAAUUUCACCAGGUGAGAUCUGAAAGUUAACUCCUUUAUUGAUUGGGUGCAUUCCAGAAUAUGCACUCAGCUCGGGAGGCAGAGAGCUGAAGUCUUACAAGGAGGACAAAGCUCAGGGGUGGAAAAGCAACUAAAAUUUAUGAAUCAAUAGAAGCAAGAGAACCACAGAAAGAAUGUCUCCAAAUUUGCAUAUAAACCCCGUCCAUAUCUUUGGCUGAAAAUAAACUACACAGGCUCAGAAGACCCUCAGGGAGUCAGACUAUAAAAUUGGCGGCUUGACAUUUAAAAAGCUAAGCAGACUAUCAGCUACUGCAUACCAUGUGUAGACAAAUAAAUAGUUUGGCUUUAAGCAAAUUAAUUACUUAUCAGAACAAACAAAGAAACAAAUAAAAUAACCCCAUGAUUCUACAAAUGACAAAACAGCACAUAUUGCCACUAUAUUAUAUAAAAUGACCAAUUUCAACCCAAAAUUACUAAAUAUGCAAAGAAUGAGUAGUGACCCACAUUAAAAAAAUAAUGAAGCAAAUGUAAAGUGCCUCCAAGUGAGCCUAGAUUUUGGGCAUAGCAAACAAAAACUUCAGCAGCUGGUCUAAAUAUGUUAAAAUGUUUAAAAAUAUGAUCUCAAUGAGUAAACAGAUAGGAAAUAACAGAAAUACAACUAAAAAGAACUGAAAAUUACAACAAAAGUCAUUAGAAUCAUUCUACAGAUUAGAUGUGGGGAAAAAAAUCAGUGAGCUUGGUGAUGCAUUAAUAACAGCUGUCCAAUCUUAAGAACAGAGAGAAACAUGAUAUUACAAAAUAAAUGAAGCUUCAAAAAUUUGGGACAUGCCGGGGGCAGUGGCUCAUGCCUGUAAUUCCAGC